CAGUAAAUAGUUUAAUAAAAAAUAUAGCAUUUGGGUUGCUAAGAUAUUAUUACUGA
rnacentral:tRNA from 1 species